AGUGAUUACAAUUGCAAUUAAAUUGGCGAUAUACUAUACCUUUCUUUUCCAAACUUAUUUUUCAACUUUAUCCGCAAAUAUGCUUAUAACUUAUGUGGUGUAUGGUUGUGGAAAUAGUACAAGAAAUGGAAACUUUUCAUGGCACCGCUUUCCAGACGCAGCAAAACACCCACAUCUCCAAAACAUGUGGGUGUCUAGCAUUAAGCAAAACUCACAAAGAAUGAAUGAGUUUGCCCAAAAGAAAUGGAGUCUGAUUUGUUCAGAACAUUUUUCUGACCAUAUGAAGGGAAAAGUCGGGAAUAGAGUUGUGUUAAAGCUGAAUGCGGUGCCAACUAUAUUCAAAAAUGCUGUGUUUAAUUUAGCAUUGCCUCAUCCAAGCCCAAUCCGCAAUGGGAAUAAUCCAAUUGAUGGUGAUCCAGGAUUCACUCAAGAUGCAUUUGUUGCACUGAAAUUUAAGGCUGAAGAAGCAAAAAAGGAAGUGUAAUGGAAGUGGAGGAUGCUACUACAGACCAUCGAAAGAGGCCACAAAAAGAAAAAAUCAUGUGGUCAUCCUAUGGUAUCUCUACCAAUUCUCAUUCCACUAAAAAAACUUCCAGUAGUGCCAGUACAAUUAUAUUGAAAUUGGAAAUGAAAUACAACAAAUUUUUUUUAACCUACUUGAUUUAUAUUAUUGUAAUACUUUUAUUAUUUUACAUAUGGAAGAAACAAAUUUAAUGGACAUGAAGAAGAACAUGCAAUUACGGAGAGAGAUAGAAGAAACAAAUUUCCAUG